AUCUUCUCUUUUUUUUCUUCUCGGGUCUUCGUUGGUGGUGUGAUCUUCGUUGGUGAUGGCAUAUUCAUUAAUUCUUCUUCUAGGGUGUUUGUUUCGUGAGCGAAUUUAUGAUCCCAAUCAUCGAUCCCCCCGCUUCGUCUUCAUCGGUCGCUGUCUAGGGAGGAAUUGAAGGAAUGGGAUCAGUAGGUUCUCCCAUUACAAAGGUUAUUGUUAAUAUUCAUCCCACUGGAUUGUAAAUUCCUGUUUGAGCUUUCCGGUCUCCACAUGCGCGCUACUAUAACAAUGUCUUCCAUGGCUGUAAUGACCAAACUGAUAUUGGUGUAUAGAUGACGUAACGGUAACAUGCUGCUGAAUGGUUAAGGGAUUUCUCAUCAGCCACGAACAUGAUUAGGUGCAUUUAUCAGUUCUAGAUGCUGAUAGUGAGUCUGCCUUGAAUAAUAUUGUGGAGGGUUCAAGAACUGUUGGUAAACAAGUCAAUGUGCAUUCAUAUGGUGUCCAUAUGACUUGAUGUCCAUAACACUCAGGCCCAUGAGUGCUGGAGCUUGUUGGAGCUCAUUGCCAUUUAAGCUCUGCCAUUACAAAGGUGGAUAUAUUCAGCGAUAAUGGGGUUCUUACGAUGGAAUACAUUGAUCAACUCCAAGGGCGAGGCUUGGUGGGUACGGAAGGUGUAUCUACGUAACGUGCAGAAUGGUUCAAGGGUUCCUCAUGGGUUUUGGAUGAUGCUUUGUGAUGCUAAGGUUGAUGAAGAUGGAAUGCUAAUGAUGGUUUUAGAUGAUGCUUUUAUCUAUCAGUGAUGGCUUUGACUGAUCUUCCUCAUGGGUUCUUUGCUCUAAACAUAUCUCUUUUAUUUCUUCGUAUAACCCCUCCGAUUUCAAGCUGCUCGCAGGCGACACUACACGCCUCCGUAUUUUUUCAUGCACUGCUCUAAUCAUGCCUUAGCUCAGGAGAUAUCUUGCUAUUUGGGUAUGGAGCGUGGGAAAACAUUUUGCUGAUGGUCGGAUACAUGUUAUAGGUGAUGAACCCGUGCCCAAGUUGUUGAUGCCCACAAUGGGGUCUUGCUGAUCAAUUUAAUUUUGGGAGGAAUUAGUAGUUAAAACAAUUAGGAAGAAACUGGUUUGGCUCGCUGCUGGUGCAGAGGUUUUGGAUGAAGCUUUAACCUAUCAUCACUGAUGGCUUUGACUGAUCUUCCUCAGGCGUUCUCAUGGGUUCAUUGCUCUAAACGUUUUGGAUGAUGA